rnacentral:lncRNA from 13 species
GGCUGAGCACAAAGGACAUUUGUCAAAUGAUUGAAUGGAUAAUCACGAGUACAUGAAUCUUCACAGCAGGAACCCAGCUUCCUGUUGGGAGGAAGCCAGCAAACCCUUGAGAUCCUGCUCCGGCGCCGCGCAGCUCCCAAAGCCACCGAUCCACAUGGUAGGUGUGCAGAGUUCCAGCCAGGGUCUUAGUGCUCAGUAAAUGUUUGGUCAACCUGAACCUGAAUCCAGUAGUCAGGUGACACUGUUGGGCAUGAGGCGGGAAGAAGGGCUGGGUUUCGUCUGAAUGACUACUCAAGCGGCAUUUGCAGAGUCACUGCUGGGAAGUCAGGUCCACCAGGGGCAGGUGGCGGGCACAUGACAGUUUGUGUGGGCAGACGUGGGGACAUGAGGUCCUGGCACAUUGGCUCAUGUGCAGGGUACAGAGGGCCAGGCAGAUGUGGGGAAGAGGAGGCUGGGUGGGGGCGGGGGCAGGAGCCGGGCCGUGGAGGCCUGGUGCUCAUGUGCUUGGAGUUUGAGCUCAUCCUGAAGGUUCUGAGAUGCCAGCGGCAAAUUUUAAGUGGAGAAAUUUUAUGGCUGGAUUUUAGUUCAGGAUGAGCCCCUGGCUCAGUUUGAAGAGAAUGAAUCAGCGGGAAGGAACACCAGGGGCACGAUGCCAGCUACACAGGUGUUGCAGCAGCACAGGGUCAGCCUUCGAGCUCCCAUGUCGUCUAACUCCUCUGCAUUGUUCAAAAUGGCCUGAAGAACUUCUGAACACAGACAGUUGUCCAGCCCAGCAGGUCCAAGGCCACCGCUGCUUGGGCUGUUAUCAGCUUGAACUCUGCACCGGCCAUCUCCAGGCGUGCUUCCCUGUUUUCUUGGGCUGCUAUAACCAAGUACCACAGACCGGGCGCCUACAGUAG